rnacentral:rRNA from 1 species
UACGGAGGGGGCUAGCGUUGUUCGGAUUUACUGGGCGUAAAGCGCACGUAGGCGGAUCGUUAAGUCAGGUGUGAAAUCCUGGAGCUCAACUCCAGAACUGCCUUUGAUACUGGCGAUCUUGAGUCCGGAAGAGGUGAGUGGAACUCCUAGUGUAGAGGUGGAAUUCGUAGAUAUUAGGAAGAACACCAGUGGCGAAGGCGGCUCACUGGUCCGGUACUGACGCUGAGGUGCGAAAGCGUGGGGAGCAAACAGG